GAGUUUGAUCGUGGCUCAGAUUGAACGCUGGCGGCAUGCCUUACACAUGCAAGUCGAACGGUAACAGGUCUUCGGAUGCUGACAAGUGGCGAACGGGUGAGUAAUACAUCGGAACGUGCCCGAUCGUGGGGGGAUAACGGAGCGAAAGCUUUGCUAAUACCGCAUACGAUCUACGGAUGAAAGCAGGGACCGCAAGGCCUUGCGCGGACGGAGCGGCCGAUGGCAGAUUAGGUAGUUGGUGGGAUAAAAGCUUACCAAGCCGACGAUCUGUAGCUGGUCUGAGAGGACGACCAGCCACACUGGGACUGAGACACGGCCCAGACUCCUACGGGAGGCAGCAGUGGGGAAUUUGGACAAUGGGCGAAAGCCUGAUCCAGCCAUGCCGCGUGCAGGAUGAGCUUCGGUGUAACUGCUUUGUACGG
rnacentral:rRNA from 1 species